UACGAAGGGGGCUAGCGUUGCUCGGAAUCACUGGGCGUAAAGGGUGCGUAGGCGGGUCUUUAAGUCAGGGGUGAAAUCCUGGAGCUCAACUCCAGAACUGCCUUUGAUACUGAGGAGCUUGAGUCCGGGAGAGGUGAGUGGAACUGCGAGUGUAGAGGUGAAAUUCGUAGAUAUUCGCAAGAACACCAGUGGCGAAGGCGGCUCACUGGCCCGGUACUGACGCUGAGGUGCGAAAGCGUG
rnacentral:rRNA from 1 species